rnacentral:lncRNA from 1 species
GGACGGCCUCCUGGUCCUGAAAUGGAAUACUGCACUGACAGAGAGUCAUACUCCUUAGCUGCUGGCUUGGCCCUGGGCAUGGUCUGCUUGGGGCAUGGCAGCAAUUUGAUAGGUAUGUCUGAUCUCAAUGUGCCUGAGCAGCUCUAUCAGUACAUGGUUGGAGGACGUAGGCGCUUUCAAACAGGAAUGCAUAGGGAGAAACAUAAAUCACCAAGUUAUCAAAUCAAAGAAGGAGAUACCAUAAAUGUGGAUGUGACUUGUCCAGGUGCUACUCUAGCUUUGGCUAUGAUCUACUUAAAAACCAAUAACAGG